rnacentral:rRNA from 1 species
CGGACAGAUGGGAGCUUGCUCCCUGAUGUUAGCGGCGGACGGGUGAGUAACACGUGGGUAACCUGCCUGUAAGACUGGGAUAACUCCGGGAAACCGGGGCUAAUACCGGAUGCUUGUUUGAACCGCAUGGUUCAAACAUAAAAGGUGGCUUCGGCUACCACUUACAGAUGGACCCGCGGCGCAUUAGCUAGUUGGUGAGGUAAUGGCUCACCAAGGCAACGAUGCGUAGCCGACCUGAGAGGGUGAUCGGCCACACUGGGACUGAGACACGGCCCAGACUCCUACGGGAGGCAGCAGUAGGGAAUCUUCCGCAAUGGACGAAAGUCUGACGGAGCAACGCCGCGUGAGUGAUGAAGGUUUUCGGAUCGUAAAGCUCUGUUGUUAGGGAAGAACAAGUACCGUUCGAAUAGGGCGGUACCUUGACGGUACCUAACCAGAAAGCCACGGCUAACUACGUGCCAGCAGCCGCGGUAAUACGUAGGUGGCAAGCGUUGUCCGGAAUUAUUGGGCGUAAAGGGCUCGCAGGCGGUUUCUUAAGUCUGAUGUGAAAGC